AUGACCUUUUCCCUUUCUCUGGGGUGCCUGAUGUUAAAAGUCCUGCUGGUGAAGGAUUGCCCUCUUUGGAGUGGAGUACAGACCCUCGCAGAAUUGACUAGUAACUUUUGGAUGCAUCCAGUUGAUUCCUCGUAUUCUUGAAUCCAUUUCACUUUUGAAGGAUCUGCUGUUUAGAAAGAUUGUGGUCACUGCUUUCUGUUCUUCACUUGCCAUGAAAUGUGCUCCUUAACUGGGUGAAGCCUUUUCAGCCAGAGAAGAAUCACAGAAUCAUUUUGAUUGGGAAAGACCUUUAAGAGCAUUGAGUCCAAGUGUUUCAGUCAGGCAUUUUGGGACAUGUGAUGAUUUGUGCUCACAGCUUGCAAAUCUACUCACAAGUUCUUCCUGACCUCACAAAUGUACGUGAUCCUACAGG